ensembl:lncRNA
GUGGGAGCGGGCGGCUGCGCCGAGGGGAGCUGGGCAUCUUCUGCGGCUCUACGGCUGUCUCCAUGUGUAGGUUGUCUGUGGGUUUUGUUUUUUUUGUUGUUUUUUUCUUUAAUUUAUUUGAAAUUGCUGCGGUUGUGGAGCUGUUUGCAAGCGAAAUCCGGAAAAUGCCUUCCAGAGGCAUCGUUAAAUAGAUCACCAGCACACAAGUAGGUCUCCCCAGUGCAUGUGUAUCUCUGGUUCUCAAAUGGAGAACAGGAUGACAGGAUAGCAAACCUGUCUUUCCCUUCCGACCUGUGGCAUCUUAUUGCUGGAACAAAGGGAACUUGCUUCUUUCUCACCAGGAGGUGGUCUUGGGGUUCACCAGAAGAGGCUGCCCAUGCUACUUGUGGGGCUACCUGCGGGUGUCCGUGUGGAUUUGCAAGAGCAAUGUGUUAUCACUGACCCUCCUUUGGGCAGGAGGUUGAGCUGAGCCAUCUGCAGAGCUGCCUUCCAGCCUCAACUCUGUAUAGUGCAGUGCUGGGGUUCGUCCUUGUUGGCGCUGCUCAGUGCUGGGAAGGCUUUGCUUAGCAAAUGUGUGCCCCUCUAAGGAAGUGCUCUGGGGUUUUCCUGGCAUCCAGAGGGGGGCUUUUUGUUGUGGUCAAUCACGAUCGUGGUGUUCACUGCGUCCCACAUCAUCCCUCUCUCUUGCUUGAUUUCCACCCAGGAAGAAAUCUGAGUUUGCUCCCUGAGUCACCUUCUGUGGGCAGAGGAAAUGUGAGAGCUGAAACAUGACUGCUGGGCGCUGCAGUAACACCCGGCCUUAAGUAAAAGGUGUAAAUAGCCUUUCUUCCCACUCCUUGUGUCAACAGCGACACAGACCAGGACCUCCCACUCACUGGGAGAAUUAAACACCUCUCACAAUAUUAGGUCUGCGACUCUCCCUCUGUUUCUGUGGCUGUUUGUAUGCAAUGUCAGUGAUCCGGCACCUGUCCCGCAGCCUUCGUUAUGGGGGCAAGGUGCUGCCCUGAUACAAAGUGGAAAGCAGAUCUAAACCACAGCUCCCGUGGGUGAACAGGGGAGACGUUCCUGUGUGUGCAGAUGGAGGUUUAGCAGCAGCAUUUGGAUUAUGAAGCUCGCUGUUACUCAGGGUGUGAACGGCCCCCUGGCAUGGCAGCCUGUCUGAGCUGCCUGAUGGGAUGAGCUGUGGCCAGCAGCAAUGGGAAACCUGUGAUGAAGCAACUCCCUUGCUGCUGCCUUGUGAAUUAAAGGUAAAUGUAAUCUAAAAGUGGGUUAAAGAUAGUUUGCAUUUGUCUACUUGUGCUGCAGAGCAAGGCUAUUUGUGGCCAAGGAGGAAGGAUGCUCCUUGCAUGGUAAUUAACUUCUUCUCUUCUCUUUUUCAUUCUUCCUCUCUCCUUGGUCUGUACUCCUUGUUUUUCUGUUUGGGGUGAUAUUUCUCUGAUGCUGGACUGACCUCCAAGCCUUUUUGCCAGGAGAAUGAGGUCAGCAGAGAAGAGCAGUCCAUAAACUUUUCCCCACCACUCGAUUCUGCUUUUCCAUUCACACUGCAGCUUCCUUGCAUCUCUGAGCUGAGGUCAGCGUGCAGUCUGAUAUUGAUUCAUACUGGGAAAAACCCCAUCUGCUUUUGCUGCUAAGUCUGAAUGGAAAAGGGUUGUGUUCAUUGCAUGUUUAAUUAUGCCUGAAUAAGAAAUCUCCUUGGGACCAUUUCGUGAAGGACACUUUACAAAUGUUUUGUGUUAUUAUUGUAAUAACGUAGCAGGAGUUACGCAUGCGUGGAGAAGAAAGGAGAUGUGAGCAGGGCAGGCAUGCAGCCUUUGGAGAACUGCCAGUUGCUGCCAUGGAGAAUGAAGAGGGCACGUUACCCUCUGGGGCUGAGCCUCCCCUGGGCUCAUGCCUUGGUUUGGGAUGCCCCUCGGUGCAAGGCCUGAGGUGCUGAGCGAGUGCCAGCGAACAGAACAGGGAGCUGCAGUGGGACAGAGACGAGAGCAUUUGCUUGGAAGCGUUCUGCUGCUUUCCUGCCAGGUGUUUCUAAGAGCAUCCCCUGAACUGCCUGCAUUCCUGCUGCAGAUUAGAAGCACGUGGAGAUGGAGGAUAAAAGGGGCGUUAGCAAUUAGCUCUGGUGAUGCCUUCAGCUGCUGAAAAAGUUGCACUAGCGAAGAACUAUUAAUUGAAAUCCCCGGUUCAUACAGAGCUGUCAGUAAUGAAUGCAUAAUGGAGAAAGUCCAUUUAAUUUUUAAUUAUCACCGUCUCCCUCCAAACAAAUACAACGCGUUAAAUCUUCCUGUCACCUUCAGCCACGCAAAGGAUGUUUGAUGGAAGUCUUCAUUAACCCCAGGUCUGCUCAGGGCAUCCUGCCAGGCCAUUAGCUAGUUAGUUACAAUAGCAAUGACUGGCACUUGGCAUGAGAAAGCCCGGGUGGCCCUCGCCAGGUCCAGAACGUGGCAGGAAUUAACUCUGUGUGAUCAUUGCAGGAGGAGGCUGAAAUCCCUUGGCUGAGCUUUCUGAGCUGGCGGGGUCUGGAGCACAUCGUGCAUCUGAUUGGGGGCUGUGGGAGCUCAUGGAGACCCCGUUAAGUCUCAGUUCCCAGCUGAAAUCCUGGUUGGUUUGGGGGCCCCUUCCAAACAUGACCUCCGGGGGACUCCUGGCAGGUCUGCCAAAGCAGCAGCACAGUCUGUCUUCCAUAGAUUGAGGAGUAUGGAUGUGUUUAUGCUCCAGUCUGAGCAGCGGGACGUGCACUGAAUGAAGUACUUAAGUCCUGAAGGAGAGUACUGACACAGUGGCCUGAAUUCCAGCCUGUGCUAUGGGGUUUGGACGUGGAGCAUAUUUAAUGACCCUAUUUAGGAUUUGACCAAGGAUCUACUGGAAGCCAGCUUGAGAAGAAACUGCCAUGGGCUUUUGGUGAACCAUAGCCGGCCUGGGAUUCCCAUUUCAGCUAAAAGCACAAGGCCUGUUCUUGGUCGGGUUAAUCCAGGUGGAAUCAUCUUGCUAAUGACCAGUGCUGUCGGAGGCUGCAUUCUGCUUUACAGGUGAUUUAAAUCAGAACCGAUUCUCCCAGAUUUGGAUGAAGUUAACAAUGUGAAGCUGAUGGAAGCUGGGUGAAAAAUCAGACCACGAUUAUCCGCUGAAAGCAUGAAUAGAUGCAAGCAAGCAGCUCUGACUUCCCGGGGGCAUUGGCUCAUGGGGAGCUGCUGGAACGUCGUGCUUGGGAAGGGUCUGAGGUGAGGGUUUACAGCUCUAAAAAGUCACCUUUCAACGCCUGUCCCAGACGUGUCCUUACAUUUACUAUUUCUGGCAUCUCACUCUCAAAUGAGUUUGCCUACAGACAGCCUUCUGGGGAUUCAAUUAAACUCUCAAAUAAAAUAAACGCUAUCCCUUAGUAAGGGCUUGAAUGCUAAGCAGAGCCAUUAUUUGAACGAAAACGGGGCUGUAAGUUUCAGUGUUGUGUCCUCUGUUUUCAUCAGCUGGGGGUCAGAAACAAGUGAAGAUGGGAAAGCCCUGUUCAUUAACUCAGUACAUCCACCCUCAGAGCUUCUCUGCUGCUUUGAAGUGAGCAAAACACCUAUAAGCAUUUUGUUUGGCAGCACUCCUGCAAGUCAGUGACUCAGGGUGAAGUCACUGCAACAGCUCCUGUUCUUUCUCAGCUGAUAAACCCCCUGGAUAUGUAUUGCAUGGGCAGUGCAGUGACUCUCAGCCCUGGGCUCUGGUGUCAUUUACCUGUUGAGUGACCUGAGGCAAGUUCACAUCUUUGUUGUUGUCUAAUUCCAGUACUUGCUUGGUGUGAAGUGAUCUACAGGUCAUCCUGUGGAUGAAGUCUCAGUUCUUAGAAUCUUUAGUCCAGACUUCUUUAUUUUGGCUAUGGAGAAGGGCAUGCCUGGGCAUGUACGGAAAUUGGGUGAGCUGCUGCCACAGGGAAUUGUGGCCAGUCUGCAAUGGAGGAAUGUGGCCAGUGGAAGGAUCCCAAAAUUGAGAUCUCACACCAGAAACGUUUGGCGCACCAGGUCCAGAUCUUGGGCAAGAUGUUCCCUGAGAUGUGUUUGACAAUUGCAGUGCAGCUGCAGCUUAUGUGAAGUUUCUUCUGAACCUUAUCAUAAAUUCCAGUCUGCUGCAAUUUCUGGUUGAUUCCAUCUCACCUGAAGCUUGCUUUGCAGCUGAUCUGCAGGCACCAAUACAGGCCAGAAACAGUGGCCACUCUUUGAAGGCUGCCGGCAGCGUAAGCUGGAGUGCAGGAGUCAUCCUUCUGCUCUGCAGAGCACUGGGAGACUUCAGCUCUUGUUUGGGGCACUGAACUCUGAGAGUGAUGGAAUCCAAUUAACAGAGAAAACUGCAGAGAAGACUGAUGAAAUGAUCAAGAGGUCUGGAAAACUGUGGCCAACAGAGUAGAGGGAAAUAAUUGGAUUGUGUAGCUUAAAGAGAAAACUAAGUGAUAAUAAUCUGAGUGGAUAAAAGGUGGCUGCAGGAAGGGAGUGGUGCCUUCUUCACAUCUCCUGCAGCUAAGAAAUAGCAGGUGCAGUUUGCAACGAGGAAGAUCCAAAUUAAGUAUAAGGCAAACCUUUUCCAUGGCUUUUAUUGCCUCUUCCAGCAAAGGCAAAGGAAUGAAGACUUCAGGUUAAACAAACGUGUAGCAGGAAUGAUGUCCAGAGCUCCCGCUCCCAUGAAACAGGAGGCUUAACUCCAUAAAUAACACAGAUCGUUUCUCUUUUUCAGUGAUCCUAAGUACACAGGGGCUUAUUGAAACCCAGACAUAGCUGGCCAUCCACAUGCAUGCACUUUGUUCUCUUCCAAAUACUUGCAUACAAAUGAUGCUAGAAGAUAGCAGACCUUCGUGAGGUCUCCCUGUCAGGUCCUCCAAGGUGAUUUGACCUCCUUAAUUUGAGCUCUUCUUGUAAUUAGCACAGCUGUGCUGUUCUUAAGGUUUUGGCACCGUGCAGCCAAUUGCAGUCUUAGCAGCUCUCUUAUUGUUAAGAUGCUAUUUUUUUAUUUAUAUCUCUUCGUCUAAGAGAAGCUACGAUAAAAAGCUGCAGAGAUUUUUAAGCCGGCUUUGCUGCUUGUUCCAGCUGCAUGCAGCCUGGGGUGCACCCAUUGCUCUGCGUGACAGCUGGAUGGGAACUGUUGAAUCAGGGCCUCAACCUCUGAUUGACCACCUGAGCAAGCACUGAGUCAGGCACGGAGCACAGGUGAAGGCAAUCCACCUGUGAUUGGAAGGGCUGGAGCCAGGCUGCACCUCUCCUAGACCCCAUUUAAGGGCUGACUGCCACCAAGGAAGGAUCUGUUCCUGGAGAUUGAUCCUCGUGGAGUUGUUGUGAGCCUACAAUGCUGGUGUAAUGAGCAGAGCACCUGAUGGCUAAUGAUAAUCCAGAUGGCUUGGAAUUGUAACUCCAUAUGCUGCAUCAUUUAAUGCAGAACAGGGCUGAAGUUAACUCUGUGUGGGUUGAUGAAACAAGGAAGUUUGUUUAUUUUGGGAGUUUAUGUUGGCAAACAAGGAAUUGAAAGAGAAACCCACGCAUAUGUGACCAGUAGGUCAAUGGGAAGGCAUCCAUGCCGGUAUCUUCUCUAAAUCAUGGGCACAGCAGGGUUUGCUCUUGCAGAGACCUGCACUUCUGUUUUGUCUGACGAUGCUUUCCCACGAGCUGGGUGUGCUCAUUGUGUUGUGCUGUGACUGGGUGAAGCCUGGAUGUGGCUCUGUGUGUAAGGGGUGCAGUGAGGUGCUCCAGCAGCUCAUUGGUGCCCAUUGGCUCUCAGAAAUAACAACUUUACAAUGCUCCUUUCUAUGAGAAGAGGUGUCUGUUCUGCUUCUGCGCUAAUGGGAUCAAUCCUAGAUCACGAGAUGGCUUUUAGGAUGUGAUAUCUUGCUGCCAGUCUUGCGGGUGUCUCUUCUGAGCUGUUUCACAGAGUUGGGCCCAAUAAUCAGGCUAUGCUGACAUACGGAACUAUUUCUGCAGCUAUGUGUUCUCCUUUGAAAUAGUCACAGCUGGAGCCAAACCAGCACGAAUGUCUUCUCCUUAGGGAGAACUUAAUCUGUAAGUUCUAAGGAUCCUUUAUACAGAGAGGUGGCAUCAUUCCCCUCGUGUUAUGAGAGGGGAAACUGGAGCAGGCUGGCUCUAAUUCAGCCGAGCACUGAAGCACCGUGGGACAUAAGGACAUGCUUUCAUGUUUGGCUAAACUGGUGCCGUGCAGAGACAUCGUGAUUUGCCCAGAGACUCACAGUGAGCUGCAAAUAGGAAUCAGGAGUUCUUUGGACAACUGCUGCAGCCAUUUGUUAUUGAUAGGUUUUCUUCCUGCGCCGCCCGGAGGAUGAGCAGCACUUUUCUUUACUGAACAAAAACAAAUGGGCCUUUUGGUAAAUACUGUGAUUUCUGCAAAACAGCUUUUGUGGGCUGCGCUGGGAGGUGAGGAGCUGUUUCUGUAGGUCAGCAGCAGUGUUUGUGCCAGGUUUUGGGCAAGUUUUUGACUGAGGUGGUGGUGGUGGUGUGAAAACAGGUCAGUCCAGGGCCUGGCACGGACAGCCUGGCAUCACUUGACUUGCAAAGGUAUUCUGGUGUGUUUCAAGCAGAGAUGGCUUUGUCUGCACCAGAAGAUGAAUGGGUUUCCAGGCACGAAAGAGAAAUAAACCCUUUUAUUAGAAUCCACUCAGGGCUGAUCCUAACACCUGGUUUGCAAUAGAGAUUUGAUUAGCAGGAAACAGUGAUGUUUCCUCUCCAGCCCUGGGAACAAUGUGCAGCCCACAUACACAUCCAGAGGAAAAAUGUCAGCCUCAUUUGUGUAUUUAUGCCAUUCACUUGCAGGAAGAACUUAGCCUUGGUAGAACCCAAUGUCACGAGUUUCAUACUUGCAGCCCAUUUCUCUCCUCUUUGAGUCAAUUCCUGACAGCAUGUAUAGAAAAAAUGCCUGGCCUUUCCACUGAGUCCUUCUGGUGCCUGAACAAGGAACUGUUUCAAUGGGUACCCACCUACAGCUACCUGCAAAAAGAGGCAGCUUGAUGCUUUAGUGGGGUGACAUCAGUUUUCUUCAGUAAGUAGUCAACAAAAUGAGUAAACACAGAUGCAGUCUCCUCUGCUUGGUGUACUUUAACCAGGACAGGACUGACUGAGAGGGUCUGUUGUGGUUCUUUGUAUUGAAAGAUGGAGGCAAUACACCUCAGGAAAGAGACUCUGUGCACACUUUCAUUUCAUACCUGACAGAAUGCUGCAGCAAGAUGAAUACCUCCUCCCAACGUUAACAAAUAACAAGUAGGUGAAAAAGCUUUUGCUCUUCUCGUAAGCAGCUGGUGAUGCUGUAAUUCAGCUGAUGAUGCUGUUAGAGGACAAAUGUUUUUACAGUAGAGGCUUUAAUACAGAUCAUGGAUUUAAACCUUCCUGUUGGCUCGAGGAACCACUUGUGUGUGGCUGAGCUCUGGAUGUCAGGAGCUCUGAAUAGUGCUGCUGAGGCAUAGAUAGGUGCUAAAUAGUGCUGCUUUUGGUUUCAGCUUUGCAAAUACUGAGUAGGAUCCCCCAACCAAUGCUGAUCUGUGGAGGUUUGUUGAGUUACCCAACCCCACCUGCAUGCAUCUGCGAGGGGUCUUGGCUGCUUUCUGCAGUCUGGCAAAGGAAAGGGAUCAGGAGGGGCUCCAUCAAGAGGACAGCUGAGUUACCAGGAUGUGAUGCCUUCAUAAUGGCUCCUGGUGCUUUAAAGCUUUGGUAAAUAGGAAAAUGAGGGAAAGGAGUGGUCUUGCUGCAGGGGAAGAAGAAGAAAAUCCAAGAUAUCUGAGAAUUGUUAAUGCAGGAAGUAGAGAGCUAGAUUUUUCCAGAGCACAUAAGCAUGUUAGGUGCUUAAUUCCCUCCUCAGGCCUGGCACUUGGCUGCCACGUGAAGAAGGGAAGGCCAAAAAAAACCCCGUCAGUAAUAGCAAAGGAAUGAUUUCCUCAAACAUACUCUGAUGGAGACAGCAUCCUGAGGUCUGUGUGAGCCAUUCAGACCCACAGCAGGGAGGCACAGCCCUCUUGCCUGCAAGCUGCAGGCUGGAACUGCAUCUACCUUGCCCUCCUGCCUUGGAAGUGAAGAUCUGGGAAGCUGUCCUAUCAACAGGAGGAGAGUUGAGAGAGACUUUUGUGUUCUCUCACCCGUUUUCUUGGCUGUUAGAAGAUGGUCAUGGUCCCAAAGGGACUGUUGUCUUCCACCUUGGGGUGGCACUGUUCAUCUUUGCCUGUUCUUCGGGGGAGCCACGUGCCUGCUCUGCUCCCAGGAGCCUGAAGAGCUCUGGAAAUCCAACUUGAAUAGCCUGGAGAGGCAUGGAUUUACGUGAUGGGAGUUUUCAGCAGUGAUACUCGCUACAAAUCAAGAAGAAAAUGAAAUACUAAGGACCACCUUACAGCAGGCACUCCGGAGACUUUCUGGAACUAAAUUGCAAAGACCAAGUGGGGAUGCUGAGUGAGUGACUGCAGACAAAGCGUAAGGCACCCAGGCAAUGAAAGAAAGAAAUGAAGCUAAACAGAGGUGGAGCACAAUAAAAACUGUACUCAGACACUGCCUGUGCUUAAUUCAAACUGAGCUGUGGGGGGACCUCACUGAGCUCCUUUCUCCUCUUCUUCAAGUGCUUAUUUACCCAGGUGGUGGAUGGAUGACAUCCUCUUUAUGAGAGCCACCAGUAAUUUUAGAUCUGUUUAAACAAGUAUUAGGAAGGUACUGAGAUGAUAGCAGGGAGAUUAACAGUCACUGAGUGCCAUCAGAAGAUCCGAGCCUACACAAAUGCUUCAUUGACAACAGAGCACUUCAGAACAAUUCAAAGUAAAUGCAUUUUCACAGUAUGUUUCCCCCCUUUCUUAGAACUGAAUGUCCACAGGAUCUGUUUCAGCAUUAAGACCAGGCUGACCCCCGUGUAGUGAUGUUUGCUGCUGAGCAAAAUGCAUGGGCAUACGUGGUGCUGUUUGGUGAGUCCUGAAAGGGCAGAGCUGCUUUGCACUCUCCCUGUGGAGUGAGCUGUGUUCCUUCCACAGAGCUCACAACAGAAGGAGGCUGUUUGCAUUGUCCACAUGGAACACUGGGAAGUAAUAGAGCUGGAAGACAUCAGCAGAUGUCCUAUGGAGACAGUAGGAAAAUCUGAUCUCCUGACUCCCAGGAUGUCAUCACGCAGUGUGAGCUGCCUGCCAUUUGCAAAGGGCGUAUUGUGAGCUAAAGGGACUCGGAGGCUGGAGAGGUGCAGUCUCACUUGGUCCAAUUAACUGGAAUCUGUCUUUGCAAAAAAGGGCAGACACAAGAAAUGGGCUAAGAGGGAAUAGCCAAGUUCUUCUUCCUAUGCCUCUGCACCACUGAGGAGGCACCUCACAGCUUCACCCUGGAUCAGAUACCCACUGUGCUAGCAGGGUUAAGGCAGCUUUGUUAUUUAGCAAGUAACCACAAAGGAACACGCAGUAGUUCAGUCAAACCUGAUCCCUUUUAGCUUUUCAACACUGCAAAAUAAAUUUAGGGGGGGUCAUCUUUUGGCAGACACUUGGAGUACGAUUCAGUCUUGCAUUUCUGGGGGCAUUCAAAAGAGUUCCUUAACUGCUCUGCACCCGGUGCUGUCCUGCAUCUCACAGCCCUCUGCUUUUACUGUUGCUAUAUUGACAAUGCAGGCACUUUCAGAUUAUUUAUCCUGCCUGUGCUUUUUCGUUUAACUUCUCACAAAGUCCAUUACCCUCAAUGACACUUCCAAUUGGCAUUUGAAUUUAAGGUGCAGUCUGGACCUUGUAAGAAAUAGGUUAUUUUGUUCUUCUUCAGAUGGUUCUGUCUCCUACACAGUGUCACUUUGGCUGAUUCAUUUAUACAACCUGACAAAAAUCUCCCAGUCUUUCAUGAACGGCUUCUCUGUGAAUGUCACACUGAAUUUGCUUAGUUGAACACUGCGUACCUACCAAUGAACUGGAGAGCAAAGUGCUGAAGCUGGAUGGUGAAACCAUCCCUAAGAUGAUGCUUCCUAUCCUGCCACAUCUGAGGCAUUUUCCUCUAUCUCUGUG